rnacentral:rRNA from 1 species
UACGUAGGGGGCAAGCGUUGUCCGGAAUUAUUGGGCGUAAAGCGCGCGCAGGCGGUUCUUUAAGUCUGAUGUGAAAGCCCACGGCUCAACCGUGGAGGGUCAUUGGAAACUGGAGAACUUGAGUACAGAAGAGGAAGGCGGAAUUCCACGUGUAGCGGUGAAAUGCGUAGAGAUGUGGAGGAACACCAGUGGCGAAGGCGGCUUUCUGGUCUGUAACUGACGCUGAGGCGCGAAAGCGUGGGGAGCAAACAGG